rnacentral:lncRNA from 1 species
CUGGGCGUCAGCAUUUUUAAAGCCCCUCAGGUGAUUCAGUGCAGCCCGGGCAAGAACCCAGCUAUGCUCUGAGAAGUGAGUGGGCAGCAUCUAAUUGCUCUUCAUAAAAAUCCUGCUGUUUUCAGCCCCAGCCCACCCUGGUCUUCCCACAGACAAUGGCCACUCCCAUGCCUGAGCCAUCCCAGAUCCCCAGUUGGAGGAACCAUCCUUUACAGCUGACUGACUCACCAGUCCCUAAUGCUGGUCAGAUGUCCUGAACAAGGAAAGCCGUGAUUUCUGCGACCAGAGAGAAUCGGUCAGUCACGGUGUCCCUCAGCCAAAAUGAACUCAGCCUAUUGUCUCCGGAGAGCUGGUAAAUCGGCAGCUGAAGAAACAUACAGUUCUGUGUUUCAAAAUGCAAAAGACCACAUUUCCCUGACCUCGGGUGCUCGCUGACACAUUCCCAACCAAUGACUAUAAAUCUGCUCCUGGAUUGUGCUCAUCAGUUCAGAGCUGGAGAGUAAACAACUUCAGAGAAAGAGGCUUUCCAAAACAGUGGGAAUUUCGGCAGAGAUGGAGCUUGGGGAAACUGAGGCACUCAGUCUGACUUCUCUUCCCUGAUGAGGAUGUGGGCUUGCUGAAGCUGAGUUUGGUUCAAGAAAGAGGAGAGUUCAAUGUUGAUAAAAAUUAUCUUGAACAAAAGUCACAGAUUGCUAGAGCAAGUUCUUCUUGAACUGUGACAAUAAGACCAGGCUAAACAAGCUAAAGGACAUAGCAAAACGCAUGGACAAUGUUAAUCGGCCGCAUUAGGGAAUCCAUGGAGAGGCCACCGUGGGUCUCUAGAAGCUACACUGAAAUGUGUUUCAUCUGCUUCCACCCUGGUGAGAGGGGUCCCACUUCCAUAAGUUUCCAUGUCCUUUGUUAAACAGAGAACCUAGAGUUGUCGUACAGGGUGGGGAGAGAUGUGGUUCCUUCCCACUGGACAUUCAUCCAACUGAAACACUACAGUUGGUAUCUAAAGUGAGACAGGCACUACCAGGCGUGGAAGAUUCAUCAAGCCGAAAGAAGAAACACUGAGCUAGCUAUUUCCAAGGUGGAUACAGAGCCAAUUGUAACAAUGGAAUUUAUGCAGUUUCCCUACCUGGGACAAUUCACACACAGUGGUUAAGGAAGCUCAGUAAAGUCCAGGUAGCCCACUGACUGUUCCCUGGCUUCUCCCAGCCACCUAUGACCUGGACAAGACUUGGAACCCAAAGGGAGUUAAAAAACUAAGAACCUCAGGCUGGGCGCAGUGGUCCCAGCACUUUGGGAAGCCAAGGAGGGCUGAUCACUUGAGCUGAAGAGCUGGAGAGCAGCCUGGCCAACAUGGUGAAACCCCGUCUCUAAAAAAAACUACAAAAAUGAACUGGGCAUGUUGGCGCAAUCCUGUAAUCUCAGCUACUCAGGUAGCUUAGGCGGGAGGACCACCUGACCCCAGGAGGCAGAGGUUGUAGUGAGCUAAGACCAUGCCACUGCACUUCAGCCUGGGCAAUAGAGCGAGACCCUGUCUCAAAACAAACAAAACAAAAAGCUAACAAAACAAAACAGCAAAAACAAAACCUUGAACCUUAUCAAGCCUCGAGAGCCAACCACCAUUAUACCAGGAGCAUAGAACUGGCCAGAUUCGGAUAUGGGGAAUUUCUGCAGGGCAAACGGCCCAGGUACAUCAAGAAACAAUGUCAUGGGAAAAGAUGGAGCAGGAAGUGUGGCAGAUUAAAAGAGACGGAACAGUCAGCGGCAACCUUGGUGUUUUGUUUGUUUCCGAAUCUGUACAAACCAACAGUAAAAAUCCAUGAUUGAGAAAGCAGGGAAAUGGGAAAGCAGACAGGGCCUGAAAGGGUGGUGGUGGCUUGGACCACGUCAUUGUGGUGAAGCUGGAGCUAGAUUCCUCCACAUCCCUUUCUCUGUGGAGUUCUGGGUGAAGAGGUGGCCCAAAGAGGCACUGUCGUGGGAUUCGGGAGGCUGCGUGAAGCAUCAGCCGUGACUCUCCAAAGUUCUUAGACUUGAUGCAUGACAGACACACACACAGGUAUCAACGAAGUCCAGCUUGUCCCCACUCUCCUGUCCCCAUCCACUUCUCCCCGACCACCAACUCUGCUGACCAGCAACGGCCCUGAGCCAGCCUCCAGAUGCUUGCCUGGGGUCCACUCUGGCUGGAGCAGUUCUUAUUAAAGGGUUUUUGUUCAUUGCAUUAGCUUCAUCGCAGUAUUGCAUUACACUGGGGGCAAGACAUUCUCUGUGGUAGGUACACACUGAAGCAUUUAUGGGUGAAAUUAUGUUAUUUCUAGGGUUUGCUUAAAAUACUUCAAAACGAAAGAGGCUGGAGCGUGGAGACUAAACAAAACAACAUUGAAAAAUGGUAACGAUUGUUAGAGUUGGAAGAUGGGCUCAUUGUUCUAUUUGCUCUGUUUCUGGUAUGUUCGAAAAUGUUCAUGAUUUCAAAUUACGGAGUCGGGGGAGCUAAGGAAAUGGAACAGAACCUGAAGAUCCCCCACCCCCUCCUCCACUCCAGACUAGCACUAGGCAAAGUUGCAGGCAAAAUUGCAUAACUGGAAAAUUCUUCAAUUCUUCUUGAGGAUGUGGGUUAAGGGAGGGAGGAAAAACUUAGAGCGGCAAGAGGCUGAUGAAUAGACACACACCACAGAAGAAAAAAGAAAACCAAUUAAAUCUUACUAUUACUUUUAACUGUGAGUAAUACGCUUGGACAUGUGUGAGCUGGUCUUGUUGUUCUUACAAACAAGGCUAAAAAAAACCUAUGACCUUGGAAUUCUCAGAUUCGUGCAGGCUGUUGAGUUAUUUUAAGUGGUGUUCAGAGGACAGGGUUUCUGACCUAAGAAUGUACUUUUCCAAAGGUACCUUCUAACUUGGAAUUUUAAAUAUUAAUUGAGAUAUAAAACUUCUUUUUAGGAAAAAUGUAAAAAUCUCCAUGAGCUCAGCCAUUGUUUUGGUUAGGAGAGAAGAUGACCGUGUAGGAUGGGGGCCAACCCAAACAGAAGGGUGGAGAAUGGCAACAGGCCCACAGUUCUGUUCACAAAUGUUCUUCUCCAGGGCUGAGCUUCUUGGAAAGGGGUUUAUUUUAUUUCACUCUAUCCCUGCUCCACAGUUGGGUCAUUUUAGGAUCUCAGCUGGUGGCCACAGCUUUUAAGGCUUCUGAGUCAUACUCCUUUUUUUUUUUAAGAGGUUAUUUAAAAGUUUUUCAAAGUAGGGAGAUAUUAUAUGGAAAAUAUUAAGCAGAAGAAAAUAUUUUGUAUUGGAAAAAAUAAAUGAUCGGUGUUCAUAAAAGUGUGUAGUCAGUAAAUCAGAAAAACUGUGAACCCGUUAGAGAAACAAACUUUGAGGGAAAAUACUGCAUAUGGUUUUAAAAGAUGCAAAAGCUGAUCCUGGCACCCAGUCUCAGGAGGAGAACAGAGGGAGGAAGUCAGAAAUGCAGAUGAUCUGUGGGGAGGUGCGGGUGCCCAGGGCAAGAGAGAGGGAGGAGGAUGGAGACUCCAGGGCGUGGAAGAGGAGAUAUGCAAAAUGCCGAACCCUAGAGGGGUGCCAGCUCAGUCACCCUCAAGGCAGACUGGCCCAGGUUCCCACACCUCCUUGUCCCACAGUCAAGUCCAAUAAAAUGGCAGGGGUGGCGGGGGGAGGGGGGAGUAGAGACACAGAGCCCUCUGUGAUGUUCACUUGCUGAUGGUUUUCCCUGAGAAGGGACUCAGAAUACGCCAUCCCCAGGCCGGGUGCAGUGGCUCUCAGCACUUUGAGAAGCUGAGGUGGGCAGAUCACUUGAGUCCAGGAGUUCGAGACCAGCCUGGGCAACACAGUGAGAUCCCAUCUCUAUAUAAUAAAUAUUAAAAAUAAAAAAAAUUUUUAAUUUAAAAAAUUAAAAUGAAUUUAAAAGAAAAUUUUAAAAGAUAGGAUGCUCAUUGCAACCUCCACCUUUUAAGCUCAAGCUAUCCUCCCACCUUAGCCUUCCAAGGAGCUGGGACUGCAGGCGCGUGCCACCACACUUUGGCGUUAAGGAUUAUUCUGAGCUGGAGGCACUUGAGAAUCGACAAGCAAGUACAGUUCUCUGCCCUCCCCUUCACUGCCUGAAAGCCAGGCAUCAAUUUCCCCCGUAAAGGUGUCCCUGCACCCCCAUCAGAGGACGAGAAGAGCACUCAUCCCCAGAGGCGGUUGGCUCCAAGAUGAGUCUACAUGAAGAGACCCUUACUGAAAUAACGCCUGACUCCCCAUUCGUCCCCAUACGCUUCUUAGUCACUUUCCUACGAUCCGUUGUCUCUCCAAGCUCAAACCUGCCUUUCUUUGUUAAAAUGGUAUAAAUUCCUGAGCCUAACC